rnacentral:lncRNA from 1 species
AUCGAUAAUAUGUUCGAACGAUUCUCAAUAAUCGUCAACGAUCUUCAUGCUCUCGGAAAAAUAUACUCGAACAAAGAUCUAGUUCGAAAAAUCCUACGUAGUCUCACUCCCAAAUGGCGCUCCAGAGCAAAUGCUAUCCAAGAGUCGAUAGGAAUCACGGACGUCACAAUUGAUGGACUACGAGGUAAUCUUAAAGCUUAUCAAAGCAC